CUGUGUGGAACACAAGUCUUCUUUUUGAUAGUCUGGGAUUCUACUCAUCAAUGGAUGACAUUUUCACCCGUCUAUUGACACUGGCUAGUUAUAUAAGUCGUCGAUUAAUUCAAUUUAUUGAGGAUCUUGCGGUCAGAGAUGCUGAUAGAUACUCAGAUGAUUUGCUGGUCAUUUCUGCUGGA